GGCGGUAUAGCCAAGGGGUAAGGCACGGGUCUGCAAAACCUUUAUCGCCGGUUCAAAUCCGGCUACCGCCU
rfam:Aerococcus urinae ACS-120-V-Col10a, complete genome.